rnacentral:rRNA from 2 species
CAAUGGACGCAAGUCUGAUGGAGCAACGCCGCGUGAGUGAAGAAGGCUUUCGGGUCGUAAAACUCUGUUGUUGGAGAAGAAUGGUCGGCAGAGUAACUGUUGCCGGCGUGACGGUAUCCAACCAGAAAGCCACGGCUAACUACGUGCCAGCAGCCGCGGUAAUACGUUAGGUGGCAAGCGUUAUCCGGAUUUAUUGGGCGUAAAGCGAGCGCAGGCGGUUUUUUAAGUCUGAUGUGAAAGCCCUCGGCUUAACCGAGGAAGCGCAUCGGAAACUGGGAAACUUGAGUGCAGAAGAGGACAGUGGAACUCCAUGUGUAGCGGUGAAAUGCGUAGAUAUAUGGAAGAACACCAGUGGCGAAGGCGGCUGUCUGGUCUGUAACUGACGCUGAGGCUCGAAAGCAUGGGUAGCGAACAGGAUUAGAUACCCUGGUAGUCCAUGCCGUAAACGAUGAAUGCUAGGUGUUGGAGGGUUUCCGCCCUUCAGUGCCGCAGCUAACGCAUUAAGCAUUCCGCCUGGGGAGUACGACCGCAAGGGUUGAAACUCAAAGGAAUUGACGGGGGCCCGCACAAGCGGUGGAGCAUGUGGUUUAAUUCGAAGCAACGCGAAGAACC